GGGGUAACAGAGGAGCUUGCUCUUGCUGACGACCGGCGCACGGGUGCGUAACGCGUAUACAAUCUGCCUUACACUAAGGGAUAGCCCAGAGAAAUUUGGAUUAACACCUUAUAGUUUAUUUUUAUGGCAUCAUUUAAAUAAUAAAGUUUACGGUGUAAGAUGAGUAUGCGUCCCAUUAGUUUGUUGGUAAGGUAACGGCUUACCAAGACUACGAUGGGUAGGGGCCCUGAGAGGGGGAUCCCCCACACUGGUACUGAGACACGGACCAGACUCCUACGGGAGGCAGCAGUGAGGAAUAUUGGACAAUGGAGGAGACUCUGAUCCAGCCAUGCCGCGUGCAGGAAGACGGUCCUAUGGAUUGUAAACUGCUUUUAUACAGGAAGAAUAAGGACUACGUGUAGUCUGGUGACGGUACUGUAAGAAUAAGGACCGGCUAACUCCGUGCCAGCAGCCGCGGUAAUACGGAGGGUCCGAGCGUUAUCCGGAAUUAUUGGGUUUAAAGGGUCCGUAGGCGGGCUGUUAAGUCAGGGGUGAAAGUUUGCAGCUCAACUGUAGAAUUGCCUUUGAUACUGAUGGUCUUGAAUUAUUGUGAAGUGGUUAGAAUAUGUAGUGUAGCGGUGAAAUGCAUAGAUAUUACAUAGAAUACCGAUUGCGAAGGCAGAUCACUAACAAUUGAUUGAC
rnacentral:rRNA from 1 species